rnacentral:rRNA from 1 species
AGUGAACGCUGGCGGUAGGCCUAACACAUGCAAGUCGAACGGCAGCACAGUAAGAGCUUGCUCUUACGGGUGGCGAGUGGCGGACGGGUGAGGAAUACAUCGGAAUCUACUUUUUCGUGGGGGAUAACGGAGGGAAACUUACGCUAAUACCGCAUACGACCUACGGGUGAAAGCAGGGGAUCUUCGGACCUUGCGCGAUUGAAUUAGCCGAUGUCGGAUUAGCUAGUUGGCGGGGUAAAGGCCCACCAAGGCGACGAUCCGUAGCUGGUCUGAGAGGAUGAUCAGCCACACUGGAACUGAGACACGGUCCAGACUCCUACGGGAGGCAGCAGUGGGGAAUAUUGGACAAUGGGCGCAAGCCUGAUCCAGCCAUACCGCGUGGGUGAAGAAGGCCUUCGGGUUGUAAAGCCCUUUUGUUGGGAAAGAAAAGCAGCAGGUUAAUACCCCGCUGUUCUGACGGUACCCAAAGAAUAAGCACCGGCUAACUUCGUG